GCAUGCUUCACCUGCAAGUCGAACGGUAACGCGGGGCAACUGGCGGCGAGUGGCGAACGGGUGAGUAAUAUAUCGGAACGUGCCCAGUAGUGGGGGAUAGCCCGGCGAAAGCGGAUUAAUACCGCAUGAGACCUGAGGGUGAAAGCGGGGGAUCGCAAGACCUCGCGCUAUUGGAGCGGCCGAUAUCAGAUUAGGUAGUUGGUGGGGUAAAAGCCUACCAAGCCGACGAUCUGUGGCUGGUCUGAGAGGACGACCAGCCACACUGGGACUGAGACACGGCCCAGACUCCUACGGGAGGCAGCAGUGGGGAAUUUUGGACAAUGGGCGCAAGCCUGAUCCAGCCAUGCCGCGUGCGGGAAGAAGGCCUUCGGGUUGUAAACCGCUUUUGUCAGGGAAGAAAUCCUUUGGGUUAAUACCUCGGAGGGAUGACGGUACCUGAAGAAUAAGCACCGGCUAACUACGUUCCAGCCGCCGCGGUAAUACGUAGGGUGCGAGCGUUAAUCGGAAUUACUGGGCGUAAAGCGUGC
rnacentral:rRNA from 1 species